CCUACGGGUGGCAGCAGUGAGGAAUAUUGGUCAAUGGGCGUAAGCCUGAACCAGCCAAGUCGCGUGAGGGAUGAAGGUUCUAUGGAUCGUAAACCUCUUUUAUAAGGGAAUAAAGUGCGGGACGUGUCCCGUUUUGUAUGUACCUUAUGAAUAAGGAUCGGCUAACUCCGUGCCAGCAGCCGCGGUAAUACGGAGGAUCCGGGCGUUAGCCGGAUUUGUUGGGUUUAAGGGGUGCGUAGGCGGCCUUUUAAGUCAGCGGUGAAAGGCUGGGGCUCAACCAUGGAAUUGCGGUUGAAACUGGGAGGCGGGAGGAUGUUUGAGGCAGGCGGAAGGGGUGGGGUAGGGGUGAAAGGCUUAGAUAUCACGCAGAAGCCCGAUUGCGAAGGCAGCCUGCCAAGCCAUGACUGACGCUGAUGCACGAAAGCGUGGGGAUCAAACAGGAUUAGAUACCCCAGUAGUG
rnacentral:rRNA from 1 species